rnacentral:rRNA from 1 species
UACAUGGGGUGCAAACGUUGCUCGGAAUCAUUGGGCGUAAAGCGCGCGUAGGCGGUUAUCUCAGUCGGAUGUGAAAGCCCUCGGCUUAACUGAGGAAGUGCAUCCGAAACUGAAUAGCUAGAGUACGAAAGAGGGUCGCGGAAUUCCCGGUGUAGAGGUGAAAUUCGUAGAUAUCGGGAGGAACACCGGUGGCGAAGGCGGCGACCUGGGUAGAUACUGACGCUGAGGUGCGAAAGCGUGGGGAGCAAACAGG